GCAAGUCGAGCGAACCCUUGGGGGUUAGCGGCGGACGGGUGAGUAACGCGUGGGAACGUGCUCUUUGGUUCGGAACAGCCCCUGGAAACGGGGAUUAAUUCCGGAUGUGCUCUUCGGGGGAAAGACUUCGGUCGCCAAGGGAUCGGCCCGCGUCGGAUUAGGUAGUUGGUGGGGUAACGGCCUACCAAGCCUUCGAUCCGUACCUGGUUUGAGAGGAUGACC
rnacentral:rRNA from 1 species